rnacentral:rRNA from 1 species
GACGAACGCUGGCGGCGUGCUUAACACAUGCAAGUCGAACGGAAAGGCCCUGCUUGCAGGGUACUCGAGUGGCGAACGGGUGAGUAACACAUGGGUGAUCUGCCCUGCACUUCGGGAUAAGCCUGGGCAACUGGGUGUAAUACCGGAUAGGAGCCAUUUUUAGUGUGAUGGUUGGAAAGUUUUUUCGGUGUAGGAUGAGUUGGCGGCCUAUCAGCUUGUUGGUGGGGUAAUGGGCUACCAAGGCGGCGUCGGGUAGCCGGCCUGAGAGGGUGGACGGCCACACUGGGACUGAGAGAAGGCCCAGACACCUACGGGAGGGAGCAGUGGGGAAGAUUGCCCGAUGGGCGCAAGCCUGAUGCAGCGACGCCGCGUGGGGGAUGACGGCCUUCGUGGUGUAAACUCCAUUCGCUAGGGACGAAGCUUUUUGUGACGGUACCUAGAUAAGAAGCACCGGCUAACUACGUG